rnacentral:rRNA from 1 species
AGUGAUCGCUGGCGGUAGGCCUAACACAUGCCAGUCGAACGGCAGCACAGUAAGAGCUUGCUCUUACGGGUGGCGAGUGGCGGACGGGUGAGGAAUACAUCGGAAUCUACUUUUUCGUGGGGGAUAACGUAGGGAAACUUACGCUAAUACCGCAUACGACCUACGGGUGAAAGCAGGGGAUCUUCGGACCUUGCGCGAUUGAAUGAGCCGAUGUCGGAUUAGCUAGUUGGCGGGGUAAAGGCCCACCAAGGCGACGAUCCGUAGCUGGUCUGAGAGGAUGAUCAGCCACACUGGAACUGAGACACGGUCCAGACUCCUACGGGAGGCAGCAGUGGGGAAUAUUGGACAAUGGGCGCAAGCCUGAUCCAGCCAUACCGCGUGGGUGAAGAAGGCCUUCGGGUUGUAAAGCCCUUUUGUUGGGAAAGAAAAGCAGCAGGUUAAUACCCCGCUGUUCUGACGGUACCCAAAGAAUAAGCACCGGCUAACUUCGUG